GUUUAUGUUUCUAACAUUAGAUUCUUCAUGCUGAUGGCAGUACUGCAGUAGAGUUGGAGCAGACCUCCUGUUGAAGAGCAUCUCCAAUGUGCUAUGAACCAUCUGACUAGAAAAAGGCCAUCUCGUUUAACUCACUGAGGACACUUGGUAUACAGCAACCUACAGAGGGGCCCAACGGCAGUUUGUGAAGACAGACAAACAAGAGAUGCUGUGUCAACCUGGACAGAAGUCAGUUUCAGAUCCACCUUCCACACCAGACGUCUCAUAUGGAUUUCUGUCUACUAGCAUAUUAUUUGUUCUCCUCAGAAUUUAGUGCAUGCAGACAUUACUCAGGAACAUGAACACAAAUAUUGCAAGAAUAGGGAAUGUGCCGUAUUUCAGAUAUGAAGGUUAAUUGCUCUUAAGCAUUAAAAAAAAUAUUGUUACUGUUGUUGUUUUUUCCCAAAGCACCUAUAAGCCAAUUCACACUGGAUCUCAUGAGUCAGAGUUGAAAACCCCUGGUUUAGAUAAUUCACUUCUUUACAAUCUUGUUUCUUUUUGCGGUUGUACUGAAUUCUGUGACCCACCUAAUUUUGUGAACCUAGGCACCUACUACUAAACCUGACCCUCUAGUCCUACCAUUUUUUGCCAUACUGAUUACCAUUUGUAUAACCAUAGUUAAAACUAUGUUUUUGUAGCAAAAUUUGUGGUUACCACAAAUUAUUUCAAAUGUUUCUAAACUACCCUCGGCAGUAGAGUCAUAUAAUUUGGUGGGUCACAGAAUUCAGCAACUGAAUGAAUCAGCACUAAAAGAAUGGUUUUCUAUCUAAGUCAUUAAGACGGUAUCUUGCUGCCACCAGGUGGCAUAACAAUGUAACUUACAAUUAAAGCACUGAAUAAUCGCUACCUACAUACAUUUUUCAAAAUCUCAGGUAUUCCAGUAUUAUAAAAUAUUAUUAAUUGAACAACAAUAGCCAUUAUAAACUGUAUGUAUUAUAUAUUAUUUGAACAAGUUCUAAAUUGGAUGCCACAUACCUGUAAUUUGUGCUAAUAAAUCUCUAACGAUAUAAUCAUUAGUUUUAGUGCAAACGAGUAAUAAGA